rnacentral:rRNA from 1 species
GCGAGCGCUGGCGGCAGGCCUAACACAUGCAAGUCGAACGAACUCUUCGGAGUUAGUGGCGGACGGGUGAGUAACACGUGGGAACGUGCCUUUAGGUUCGGAAUAACUCAGGGAAACUUGUGCUAAUACCGAAUGUGCCCUUCGGGGGAAAGAUUUAUCGCCUUUAGAGCGGCCCGCGUCUGAUUAGCUUGUUGGUGGGGUAAUGGCCCACCAAGGCUACGAUCAGUAGCUGGUCUGAGAGGAUGACCAGCCACAUUGGGACUGAGACACGGCCCAAACUCCUACGGGAGGCAGCAGUGGGGAAUCUUGCGCAAUGGGCGAAAGCCUGACGCAGCCAUGCCGCGUGUAUGAUGAAGGCCUUAGGGUUGUAAAGCUCUUUCGGUGGUGACGAUGAUGACGGUAACCACAGAAGAAGCCCCGGCUAACUCCGU